ensembl:lincRNA
UGAAAAGGGAACCACGGUCAGGGAGUGACGUGCAGUACAGUAAUCACAGUACAGUAAUCACAGGUGAGACUGACUGUCAAACACUAACAGUAUAAUUCUUACUGCUUGACCCAAAGCUAAAAGACGGAAUUCUGAAACACUGUUUCUGGCGCAAGGGUGUCGCUAACUUGUAACCUUUUACUAUUGAUGAUAGAUGGGGAUGAACAUUGUAUUUUGAAUUAAACUGUAAACAGAUCGUAAAUCCUCAAUUAAAGUUUUAAUAAGGUUAUUUCAUCAGCAGUGUAGUUAAAAGUGUGGAACGGAAUUGACUCCAGUUACUUGUGUCGGAAAGACUGAGGGAUCCAUGCCAACUCCAGGCUUAAUUAACAGUCCGAAGCCAGGUGUGAUUAAUCUUUAUCCGCCUUCAAUUAGUCUCCUUUAAAACUUGCUCUGGCAGCAGUAUUGCGUCUUUGUCCUUAAAUACCGGCUUUGUAGCACCAGGAAAAUAUUCCCGGGAUGUUUCACUUUAUUUGGGUAGCAGAAUGUCGGACAAGUUCUCUUCCUAUUUUGACAGUAACAGUUCAAAACGAAACGAGAGAAGGUAUCAGAGUUUCAGAAUAAUUAAGGAGGCGGAAAGUAACUUGAUUUUAGAAAAGGCCUUCUGUCUUAUAAAGAAAAGCUGAAUUCAAACUAAACCAGUAACUUUCUUUUUUUCAAAAGGCGAAAUGGAACGGAUCAUUGUUGCUGCUAUUUAAAAUGGCUACCUGUAUUUUUUUAUGCUUGCUCAGGUCUUAGUGGUGUUUUAGCAGGUGUCUUAUUCCCUUGUUCCUCCUCCUCCCCGGCCUUCCUGUCCUCUACAACAGCCUGGACGCCGAAGCGCAGAGCUCCCGUGUGGCGUGAAACUGGACAGAUGAGCGGUCAGUUCGAAGCAGUUGAUCCCGGAGAGCAGCCGGCCUCACCUCGCGGUCCCGGGUGGCCACCGUCUCUCCGGCCGGCUGUCCUGACUGGAGCGUUUCCUCUCCCGGGGCUCCAGACUGCGGACCGCCGGAGCUUCUGGAUAUCAGCCGACCGAGUAACGCCUGUUCGUUUUCUUUUUGUUCAAUUUUUGCAAUAAACCAGUGUCAUUGGAUUGUUUCUUGAACCAAUUUGUUUGGUUAUUUUGGUGCGCUAAAUUUUUAUGUAGUAAGAGGGCAUCUCGACAGGGGAUCGUCCUCCUGUUUUUUUUUAAUGAACCUACAUGUUUCCUCUGCCCCUGCAGACGGCUCAGAGUGGCUGUCAGUUAUGAAUUUAUGAUGUUUCAUCUUCAUCCAUGGCAGUCGUUGUACAAGCUUUUUGACUGUCCAACUCCAGCUGUUGCUUGCAUGUACACAAGCAACUGUGUCAUAAGACAAUUCCUAUCGCUAAAAUAAUUUAGGGAUGCUUGCAUUUGCUUAAUAUCACAGCUCCCUCUAAGUGAAUAUUGCUUUUGUCCAGACUGCUUCUGACAAUAAUAAGGAGCUACAGCUUAAAAAAGGAUGAGCAGCUGUAGUCCCAGUACAUUCAUUUUGGAGUUUAGUCCUGCUUGCAGCUUGACUUCUGAGAAACUGAGGACAGACAAGAGAAUACAAUGUUAAUUACAAAGUGUUGUGUGAAGACAUUUCAUAU